rnacentral:rRNA from 1 species
AGAGCGAACGCUGGCGGCAGGCUUAACACAUGCAAGUCGAGCGCCCCGCAAGGGGAGCGGCAGACGGGUGAGUAACGCGUGGGAACGUACCUUUGGUUCGGAACAACACAGGGAAACUUGUGCUAAUACCGGGAUAAGCCCUUACGGGGAAAGAUUUAUCGCCGAAAGAUCGGCCCGCGUCUGAUUAGCUAGUUGGUGAGGUAACGGCUCACCAAGGCGACGAUCAGUAGCUGGGUCUGAGAGGAUGAUCAGCCACAUUGGGACUGAGACACGGCCCAAACUCCUACGGGAGGCAGCAGUGGGGAAUAUUGGACAAUGGGCGCAAGCCUGAUCCAGCCAUGCCGCGUGGAUGAUGAAGGCCUUAGGGUUGUAAAGUCCUUUUAACGGGGAAGAUAAUGACGGUACCCGUAGAAUAAGCCCCGGCUAACUUCGUGCCAGCAGCCGC